CCUACGGGAGGCAGCAGUGGGGAAUAUUGGACAAUGGGGGAAACCCUGAUCCAGCGACGCCGCGUGAGUGAAGAAGUAUUUCGGUACGUAAAGCUCUAUCAGCAGGAAAGAAAAUGACGGUACCUGACUAAGAAGCCCCGGCUAACUAUGUGCCAGCAGCCGCGGGAAUACGUAGGGGGCGAGCGUUAUCCGGAGUUACUGGGUGUAAAGGGAGCGUAGACGGCAGCGCAAGUCUGGAGUGAAAUGCCGGGGUCCAACCCGGGAACUGCUUUGGACACUGUGAAGCUGGAGUGCAGGAGAGGUGAGCGGAAUUCCUGGUGUAGCGGGGAAAUGCGUAGAUAUUAGGAGGAACACCAGCGGCGAAGGCGGCUUACUGGACUGUAACUGACGUUGAGGCUCGAAGGCGUGGGGAGCAAACAGGAUUAGAUACCCUAGUAGUC
rnacentral:rRNA from 1 species